UUAAAAGGAAGUAAAGAAGGGAGAAAUAACCUGAGACUUACAGCGGGGGAGAGGUCAACAUGAAUUAGCCAGAUUUGCUGUGCGGACCUUUGGACUAGCUAACGUCCCUCCAUCUUCCCAAUAUCAGGUUCCCAGUCUUUGCAAUAUUGUGACUUGGCUCUGUCUUUGCCACAAGUGAGCAACUUUGAGUGACGUGUUUGUAUUUUCUUCUUCCUACCUUUCGUAAGUUUCAUCUGCCACUAGACGGAAGAUAUGAUGCAGGUGUUCAUCUCAAGAGCACUCCCCAAAUAAAUCUCCUGCAUGCCAAUUUCUGCCUCAAUGGAAGACGGGGACCCACCUGUCACAGCAUUGAAGAAAAUAGUGAAAAUUAUGAAUAUGAUUCCAUAGAGCCCGCUGAGUAUAGACUUCUUUUUUGUCAGGCUAUACAAAAAAAUUGGACAGUGAAUGAAGACUCUGCUUUUCCACACUAAAGUAUCUUGGCCAUUGGA